UACGUAGGGGGCAAGCGUUGUCCGGAUUUAUUGGGCGUAAAGAGCGUGUAGGCGGCUAGAUAGGUCCGUUGUGAAAACUCGAGGCUCAACCUCGAGACGUCGAUGGAAACCAUCUGGCUAGAGUCCGGAAGAGGAGAGUGGAAUUCCUGGUGUAGCGGUGAAAUGCGCAGAUAUCAGGAAGAACACCCGUGGCGAAGGCAGCUCGCUGGAACGGUACUGACGCUGAGGCGCGAAAGCGUGGGGAGCGAACAGG
rnacentral:rRNA from 1 species